rnacentral:rRNA from 1 species
AUGGCGGCGCUAACACAUGCAGUCGAACGAGGUAGCAUACCUAGUGGCAGACGGGUGCGUAACAUGUGGGAAUCUGCCUUUUGGUUCGGAACAACACGGGGAAACUUGUGCUAAUACCGGAUAAGUCCUUACGGAGAAAGACUUAUCGCCGAAAGAUGAGCCCGCACUUGAUUAGCUUGUUGGUAAGGUAAAAGCUUACCAAGGCAACGAUCAAUAGCUGAUUUGAGAGGAUGAUCAGCCACACUGGGACUGAGACACGGCCCAGACUCCUACGGGAGGCAGCAGUGGGGAAUCUUGCACAAUGGAGGAAACUCUGAUGCAGCGAUGCCGCGUGAGUGAAGAAGGCCCUUGGGUUGUAAAGCUCUUUUGUCGGGAAAGAUAAUGACUGUACCCGAAGAAUAAGGUCCGGCUAACUUCGUGCCAGCAGCCGCGGUAAUACGAAGGGACCUAGCGUAAUUCGGAAUUACUGGGCGUAAAGCGCGCGUAGGCGGUUAAGUAAGUUAAUUGUGAAAGCCCAAAGCUCAACUUUGGAAUUGCAAUUAAAACUAUUUAGCUAGAGUUUAUCAGAGGAAAGCGGAAUACAUAGUGUAGAGGUGAAAUUCGUAGAUAUUAUGUAGAACACCAGUUGCGAAGGCGGCUUUCUGG